rnacentral:rRNA from 1 species
AGUAUAAGUAAGGAAUCUACCCCAAAGUGAAGGACAUCUCGUCGAAAGACGGGGUAAUCCUGCAUACCCCCGUAAGGGGAAAGGGCUUAACUGCCCGCUUUGAGAGGAGCCUUACUCCUAUCAGCUUGUUGGUGGGGUAAUAGCCUACCAAGGCUAUGACGGGUAGCUGGUGUGAGAGCAUGUCCAGCCACAAUGGCACUGAGACACGGGCCAUACACCUACGGGUGGCAGCAACCGGGAAUCGUCGGCAAUGGGCGAAAGCCUGACCGCGCGACGCCGCGUGAAGGAUGAAGCCCUUCGGGGUGUAAACUUCUUUUUGCCCCGCCAUAUGGCGGGGAGAAUAAGCGCCUACUAACUACGUGCCAGCAGUCGCGGUAAUACGUAGGGCGCAAGCGUUAUCCGAAUUUACUGGGCGUAAAGGGUCGCGUAGGCGGUCUACCGCAUCUUACCUGAAAUGGCGAGGCUUAACCUCGUCUGGUGGUAAGAGAUGGGCAGACUUGAGGUUCGGCGGGGUUUCUGGAACUUCCGGUGUAGCAGGAAAUGCGUUGAUAUCGGAAGGAACACCGAGAGCGAAGGCAGGAAACCAGUCGACACCUGACGCUGAGGCACGACAGCUAGGGGAGCGAAGCAGAUUAGAGACCUGCGUAGUCCUAGCCGUAAACGCAUGAGUGCUAGUUGCCCGGCCGCAAGGCUGGGUGACGCAAGCUAACGCGUUAAGCACUCCGCCUGGGGAGUACGGUCGCAAGAUUAAAACUCAAAGGAAUUGGCGGGGACCCGCACAACCGGUGGAGCAUGUGGUUUAAUUCGAGACGAAGCGAAAGACCUCACCACGGUUUGACAUCUUAACGUUUAUUCUGAUGGAAACAUCGGGAAAUCCGCAAGGAUGUUAAGAAAGCUGCUGCAUGGCUGUCGUCAGCUCGUAUCGUGAGAUGUUCCCUUAAGUGGGGUAACGAGCGCAACCCUUGCCGUUUGUUAAAUACUCAAACGGGACGGUCCCGACGUUUGUCGGGAAGGAAGGUGGGGACGACGUCAAGUCAGCACGGCGCCUAUGCCGUGGGCCACACACAUCCUACAAUGGCGAAAAACAACGAGUCGCAAGAGGGUGACCUUAAGCAAAUCUCUGAAAUUUCGCCUCAGUUGGGAUUGGAGUCUGCAACUCGACUUCAUGAACACGGAAUCGGUAGUAAUCGCGGAUCA